rnacentral:lncRNA from 1 species
UACGAUAUGCUCGGAUGUACAUCCUUCAAAUCCUCGGAGGUUAUCUGAUGUCGGACAAGUUAUGAAACCUCGUACAUCUGAGGUGGUUGCUGAAACUCAUCGAUUUUAGAGUAGUUGGCAAACUCAGUUGGGGUUUGUCAUGUUGUCGACAUUGUACCGAAAUAUGUGUCGGGCGACGCAACCAAAUAAAACUAAAAUCGGAGGUAACCUCUCAC